AGAGUUUGAUCCUGGCUCAGGAUGAACGCUGGCGGCAUGCCUAAUACAUGCAAGUCGAACGGGGUGCUUGCACCCAGUGGCGAACGGGUGAGUAACACGUAUCUAAUCUACCUUUUAGUGGGGGAUAACAGUUGGAAACGACUGCUAAUACCGCAUACGACGUCAUUAUCGCAUGAGAAGACGUUAAAAGAUCCGUUUGGAUCGCUAGAAGAUGAGGAUGCGGCGUAUUAGCUAGUAGGUGAGGUAAUGGCUCACCUAGGCGAUGAUACGUAGCCGAACUGAGAGGUUGAUCGGCCACAUUGGGACUGAGAUACGGCCCAGACUCCUACGGGAGGCAGCAGUAGGGAAUUUUUCACAAUGGACGAAAGUCUGAUGAAGCAAUGCCGCGUGAGUGAUGACGGUCUUCGGAUUGUAAAGCUCUGUUGUAAGGGAAGAAAUGGUAGGAUAGGAAAUGAUCCUGCUUUGACGGUACCUUACCAGAAAGCCACGGCUAACUAUGUGCCAGCAGCCGCGGUAAUACAUAGGUGGCAAGCGUUAUCCGGAUUUAUUGGGCGUACAGGGUGCGUAGGUGGUUCGAUAAGUUUAGGGUUAAAUCCCGGGGCUCAACCCCGGUUCGCCUUGAAAACUGUCGUACUAGAAUACAGAAGAGGUAGAUGGAAUUCCAUGUGUAGCGGUGAAAUGCGUAGAUAUAUGGAGGAACACCAGUGGCGUACGCGGUCUACUGGUCUGUUAUUGACACUGAGGCACGAAAGCGUGGGGAGCAAAUAGGAUUAGAUACCCUAGUAGUCCACGCCGUAAACGUUGAGUACUAAGUGUCGGCAUUAGUCGGUGCUGCAGCUAACGCAUUUAAGUACUCCGCUUGAGUAGUAUGCGCCGCAGCCGUGAAACUUUAAGGGAAUGACUGGGACUCGCACAAGUGGAUGGAGCAUGUGGAUUGAUUCG
rnacentral:rRNA from 1 species